rnacentral:rRNA from 1 species
UACGUAGGGGGCAAGCGUUGUCCGGAUUUAUUGGGCGUAAAGAGCGUGUAGGCGGCCCGACAGGUCCGUUGUGAAAACUCGAGGCUCAACCUCGAGACGUCGAUGGAAACCGUCGGGCUAGAGUCUGGAAGAGGAGAGUGGAAUUCCUGGUGUAGCGGUGAAAUGCGCAGAUAUCAGGAGGAACACCAGUGGCGAAGGCGGCUCACUGGCCCGAUACUGACGCUGAGGCACGAAAGCGUGGGGAGCAAACAGG